rnacentral:rRNA from 1 species
AACGAACGCUGGCGGCAUGCCUAACACAUGCAAGUCGAACGAGACCUUCGGGUCUAGUGGCGCACGGGUGCGUAACGCGUGGGAACCUGCCCUCAGGUCCAGAGUAACUCCCCGAAAGGGGUGCUAAUGCCGAAUAAUGUCUUCGGACCAAAGAUUUAUCGCCUUUGGAUGGGCCCGCGUAGGAUUAGCUAGUUGGUGAGGUAACGGCUCACCAAGGCGACGAUCCUUAGCUGGUCUUAGAGGAUGAUCAGCCACACUGGGACUGAGACACGGCCCAGACUCCUACGGGAGGCAGCAGUGGGGAAUAUUGGACAAUGGGCGAAAGCCUGAUCCAGCAAUGCCGCGUGAGUGAUGAAGGCCUUAGGGUUGUAAAGCUCUUUUACCCGGGAUGAUAAUGACAGUACCGGGAGAAUAAGCUCCGGCUAACUCCGUGCCAGCAGCCGCCGUAAUAC